GUACACCCAGACUGCACAUGAAUGGACAUGUGCCUCCACUGUCACCCAAUGUCUACAUCCAGUUCUGUUUGGAGUAUAUCAGGUAAAAUCAAUGCCCAGUAAUGGGAUUUCAAUUCACACCUUAUCGACCACUCCCAUCCCCAUUCCCUCUGGUGAUGACUGAUUUGCUGGGAAUGACUUCUUUGGGUUUGAUUUUCUCUCCAAAGAGAUGUGGAUCCUGAAGCAGAAUGCUGACUGGAUUUGCCUCCAGGGAGGUUUGCUUUUUGCUGCUGAUUUUUCUCUCUCCCCUUCAACGUAUUGAUGUUUCCUUGCUUAGCUGAGUGGUCUGUUCUGUGUCAAAGGUAUCAGACAGUUGUCCUGUUCUGUCUUCAUUUCAAGUGAGAGGAUGUAAGUGGGCUGCUAGUGUGUGCCUUAACAGCUGUAAUUAGCUGAGACAAGCCCAGAUGCCUUCCAUUCAACUGAAGGCUAAUUAAGUAAUUAAGGAAGCACUCACUCAUGCUUUUCAAUGUUCAUUUUGUUCCUAGGAUGUUUUAGCUUAGGAGUCACUUCUUUUGUAUUUACCCUUUUUUAAAAGCUUGGAAGGAUUACUCAAAAUAAAAGUCCUGAACAAA